rnacentral:rRNA from 1 species
AGAGUUUGAUCAUGGCUCAGAAUCAACGCUGGCGGCGCGCCUAACACAUGCAAGUCGAACGAGAAAGCGGGAGCAAUCUCGCAAGUACAGUGGCGUACGGGUGAGUAACACGUGGAUGAUCUGCCCUGGAGUGGGGAAUAACGCUGGGAAACCGGAGCUAAUACCGCAUAAGCUCGUGAGAGGAAAGCAGCAAUGCGCAGAGAGAGGAGUCCGCGGCCGAUUAGCUAGUUGGUAGGGUAAUGGCCUACCAAGGCGAUGAUCGGUAGCCGGCCUGAGAGGGCACACGGCCACACUGGCACUGAAACACGGGCCAGACUCCUACGGGAGGCAGCAGUGGGGAAUCUUGCACAAUGGAGGAAACUCUGAUGCAGCGACGCCGCGUGAGCGAUGAAGCCCUUCGGGGUGUAAAGCUCUUUCGGCAGGGACGAUUAUGACGGUACCUGAAGAAGAAGCUGCGGCUAACUACGUGCCAGCAGCCGCGGUAAUAC